CUACCUUUCACCAAAUGGGUUUGCUCAAUGCCAUGCACCGCCUACUUCUCGUAAACGCGUUCUCUGCUCCGGUCCAACUUAUCCAUGUUUGCCAAUACUAUAUUACUUGAACAUAAACA